rnacentral:rRNA from 1 species
GAUGAACGCUGGCGGCGUGCUUAACACAUGCAAGUCGAGCGAGUGAGUUCUUCGGAACGAUCUAGCGGCGGACGGGUGAGUAACACGUGGGCAACCUGCCUCAUAGAGGGGAAUAGCCUCCCGAAAGGGAGAUUAAUACCGCAUAAAAUUAUCGAGUGGCAUCACAUGAUAAUCAAAGAAGUAAUCCGCUGUGAGAUGGGCCCGCGGCGCAUUAGCUAGUUGGUGAGGUAACGGCUCACCAAGGCGACGAUGCGUAGCCGACCUGAGAGGGUGAUCGGCCACAUUGGGACUGAGACACGGCCCAGACUCCUACGGGAGGCAGCAGUGGGGAAUAUUGCACAAUGGGGGAAACCCUGAUGCAGCAACGCCGCGUGAGUGAUGAAGGUCUUCGGAUUGUAAAGCUCUGUCUUUGGGGACGAUAAUGACGGUACCCAAGGAGGAAGCCACGGCUAACUACGUGCCAGCCGCCGCGGUAA